GACGAACGCUGGCGGCGUGCUUAACACAUGCAAGUCGAACGGUAAGGCCCUUCGGGUACGACGAGUGGCGAACGGGUGAGUAACACGUGGGUGAUCUGCCCUGCACUUCGGGAUAAGCUUGGGAAACUGGGUCUAAUACCGGAUAGGACCACGGUCUGCAUGGAUUGUGGUGGAAAGCUUUUGCGGUGUGGGAUGGGCCCGCGGCCUAUCAGCUUGUUGGUGGGGUGAUGGCCUACCAAGGCGACGACGGGUAGCCGGCCUGAGAGGGUGUCCGGCCACACUGGGACUGAGAUACGGCCCAGACUCCUACGGGAGGCAGCAGUGGGGAAUAUUGCACAAUGGGCGCAAGCCUGAUGCAGCGACG
rnacentral:rRNA from 1 species